UUUGUGUCAAUGAAAUGAUCUUAUGCUUAUGCUGAGGUCAUCUGGAGACUUCAUGUGAAGUUUUGGAAAGCAACUUCUGUUUGACAGUUUUUCCUCUUGUUUCUGCAUCUAAAGUAUUCUAUUCCAUUUGAGUAAUCUAAAAUGUGGCUACCUCCACCUUAGUGAAUCUUUUAUAUAGAAAGAGACUCAACCACUCCUUUGUUCACCUUAAGACCUGAGAAGAAUCCAUUGACAAGGCACAAUAUUUCCACCAGUACCAAUGAGAAAGCAUCUCUCCCAAAAGUCGUGAUCAUAAAUGAUUUUGUGGUGUUUGCCCAUUGGUCUUUCUGCAUUCUACCACUGGGCUGCAAUCCAACAGCGUUUUCAGAUUGAAAUUCCCUAUUGCAGGUAAGUCUUUAACCUUUGAGUGCAAAGCAAUUAUCUUUCUUCCCUGGCUAAGCAUUUUAUUUAAUUAGAUGAAGGCUAUGUGUCACACUGGUGGAUGGAGUCCUUUUGCCAGUCCAUGGGAACCAGGCAACUGCAGUCUUGGGCUUCUCCUCAGCUCUGGUUCUUGAGUGGGCAAUUGGACCUGAUUUCACCAGAGUGCUACUUCCUUGAAGAAGCCCUGCAUUCCCAUCAGGAGACUUCAUGUGACGAUAAGCAACCAAGAUCUUCUUGCAGCUCUUCCUCUGAGAUCCUGUUUGUGCAUCUAAAGUAUUCCAUGGCAUCUGAGUUAGCAUAAAUGCAGUCACCUUCACCUUCCAGAAACUUCUAGAUGGAAGGAAAGUCAACCGCUCCUUUGAUCACUUAGUCUUGAGAAGAAUCCAUGGGCAAUGCACAAUUAUUUCCACCAGCGUCAAGGAGAGAGCCCCUCUCCCAACAGCUGUGAUCAUAAAUGAUUUGUGUUGUUUUCUGUUAUGGGCCAGAAAUUCUAUACUUAAAACAAGGAUUCUUACAAGGUGCUAACUUCAGUGGAAUUGAUGAGACUGGUUAUCUAGUUUAGCAUGGUGAUUAAUAGUUCUCUAGAUCAGUAUGAUUGAUUUAAUCUUACAACAAAUAAUGGUUCCCUAGUGAUAGAAUGAUUGGUGUAUACUCAAAAUAGAGCAUAUAAAGCUGCAACAAACUCAGCCAGAUCCGAGCCAGAGACAGACUCGGAAGGGCCAGACACAGACUCGGAAGGGACCCAGAGACACAUUCAUUCCAUCAUCCACCUUUGUGGUGGCUGGAGACUGAAGCACAAGCCCUUGGACUCAGAGACAUUCGUUUCCAUCUUCAUCAGCCUCUUAGUGUCUGGCCUGUCUUCCUGCACUUCCCCCACUGAGACCAAGGCUCUUUUGAAAGGCUCUCAAGAAAGCAGGCUGGGUCCCAGGCAAGGAGACAAUAAAGAAUUUGGAUGUUGGAUUUUAACACCUGGCUAGUCUCAUGGUGAUUACUGAAAGGAAGACUGGUCCAGAGACCUCCAGAAAACCAACAGGAACAUUAUAAUUUUCCAUUUGGCCUUUCCGUGUUCUACCACUGAACAGCAAUUCAACAGUUUCUCCAUGUGAAACUCCCUAUUGCAGGUGAAGACUGUGUGUCACACUGGUGGAUGGAGUCCUAUUGCAAGUCCAUGGGAACCAGGCUUCUCCUCAGCUCUGGAUUUUUUCAGGAAGUGUUUGGUGGAUUCUUCCAGGUUCUAUUUUACCCUCCAAUUCUAGGAUACCAGGGCAGCUUUCGUUGACAAUUUCUUGAAAGAUGCUGUCCAGCACCUCUGAGAUACCACUACACACCUGUCAGAUGGGCUAAGAUGACAUGAAAAGAGAAUGAUAAAUGUUGGAGGGGAGAUGGGAAAACUGGGACAGUGAUACAUUGUUGGUGGAACUGUGAACGGAUCCAACCGUUCUGAAGAGCAAUCUGGAAUUAUGCCCCAAAAGUUAUCAAACUGUGCAUACCCUUUGAUCCAGCAGUGCUACGACUGGGCUUAUGCCCCAAAGAGAUCUUAAAAGGAGGGAAAAGGACUCGUGUGCAAAAAUGUUUGCGGUGGCAAAAACUGGAAAUGGAGUGAAUGCCCAUCAAUUGGAGAAUGGCUAAAUAAAUUGUGGUACAUGAAUGUUAUGGAAUAUUAUUGUCUGGUAAGAAAUGACCAACAGGAUGAUUUUAGAAAGGUCUGGAGAAACUUACAUGAACUGAUGCUGAGUGAAAUGAGCAGGACCAGGAGAUCAUUAUAUACCUCAACAACAAUAUUAUAUGAUGAUCAAUUCUGAUAGACAUGGCCCUCUUCAACAGUGAGAUGAUUCAAACCAGUUCCAAUUGUUCAGUGAUGAAGAGAGCCAUGUACAUCCAGAGAGAGGACUAUAGGAACUGAGUGUGGACCACGACAUAGCAUUUCCACUGUUUCUGUUGUUUGCUUACAUUUUUGUUUUCCUUCUCAGGUUUUUCUACUUUCUUUCUAGAUCCAAUUUUUCUUAUGCAGCAAGAUAACUGUAUAAAUGUGUAUACAUAUAUUGUAUUUUAUAUAUACUUCAACAUGUUUAACAUGUAUUGUUACCUGCUAUCUAGGAGAGGGAAUGGGGGCAAGGAGGGGAACAAUUAGAACAGAAGAUUUUGCAUAGGUCAAUGUUGAAAAAUUAUCCAUGCAUAUGUUUUGUCAAUAAAAAGCUAUAAUAAUAAAAAUUACAAGAGAAAUCCAAUAAAAAAGAAAUGAGAGAGAGAGAGAGAGAGAGAGA